GACGAACGCUGGCGGCGUGCUUAACACAUGCAAGUCGAACGGAAAGGCCCUGCUUUUGUGGGGUGCUCGAGUGGCGAACGGGUGAGUAACACGUGAGUAACCUGCCCUUGACUUUGGGAUAACUUCAGGAAACUGGGGCUAAUACCGGAUAGGAGCUCCUGCUGCAUGGUGGGGGUUGGAAAGUUUCGGCGGUUGGGGAUGGACUCGCGGCUUAUCAGCUUGUUGGUGGGGUAGUGGCUUACCAAGGCUUUGACGGGUAGCCGGCCUGAGAGGGUGACCGGCCACAUUGGGACUGAGAUACGGCCCAGACUCCUACGGGAGGCAGCAGUGGGGAAUAUUGCACAAUGGGCGGAAGCCUGAUGCAGCAACGCCGCGUGCGGGAUGACGGCCUUCGGGUUGUAAACCGCUUUCGCCUGUGACGAAGCGUGAGUGACGGUAAUGGGUAAAGAAGCACCGGCUAACUACGUGCCAGCAGCCGCGGUGAUACGUAGGGUGCGAGCGUUGUCCGGAUUUAUUGGGCGUAAAGGGCUCGUAGGUGGUUGAUCGCGUCGGAAGUGUAAUCUUGGGACUUAACCCUGAGCGUGCUUUCGAUACGGGUUGACUUGAGGAAGGUAGGGGAGAAUGGAAUUCCUGGUGGAGCGGUGGAAUGCGCAGAUAUCAGGAGGAACACCAGUGGCGAAGGCGGUUCUCUGGGCCUUUCCUGACGCUGAGGAGCGAAAGCGUGGGGAGCGAACAGGCUUAGAUACCCUGGUAGUCCACGCUGUAAACGGUGGGUACUAGGUGUGGGGUCCAUUCCACGGGUUCCGUGCCGUAGCUAACGCUUUAAGUACCCCGCCUGGGGAGUACGGCCGCAAGGCUAAAACUCAAAGGAAUUGACGGGGCCCCGCACAAGCGGCGGAGCAUGCGGAUUAAUUCGAUGCAACGCGUAGAACCUUACCUGGGUUUGACAUGGAUCGGGAGUGCUCAGAGAUGGGUGUGCCUCUUUUGGGGUCGGUUCACAGGUGGUGCAUGGCUGUCGUCAGCUCGUGUCGUGAGAUGUUGGGUUAAGUCCCGCAACGAGCGCAACCCUUGUUCACUGUUGCCAGCACGUUAUGGUGGGGACUCAGUGGAGACCGCCGGGGUCGACUCGGAGGAAGGUGGGGAUGACGUCAAGUCAUCAUGCCCCUUAUGUCCAGGGCUUCACGCAUGCUACAAUGGCUGGUACAGAGAGUGGCGAGCCUGUGAGGGUGAGCGAAUCUCGGAAAGCCGGUCUCAGUUCGGAUUGGGGUCUGCAACUCGACCUCAUGAAGUCGGAGUCGCUAGUAAUCGCAGAUCAGCAACGCUGCGGUGAAUACGUUCCCGGGGCU
rnacentral:rRNA from 1 species